GUGAGUACCAGGGCAGUGUAUGUAGGUGAGUCAGGUAACAAUAACAGGUACAGCUGUGUGAUUAGUCAGGUGAGUACCAGGGCAGUGUAUGUAGGUGAGUUAGGUAACAAUAACAGGUACAGCUGUGUGAUUAGUCAGGUGAGUACCAGGGCAGUGUAUGUAGGUGAGUUAGGUAACAAUAACAGGUACAGCUGUGUGAUUAGUCAGGUGAGUACCAGGGCAGUGUUUGUAGGUGAGUCAGGUAACAAUAACUGGUACAGCUGUGCGAUUAGUCAGGUGAGUACCAGGGCAGUGUAUGUAGGUGAGUCAGGUAACAAUAACAGGUACAGCUGUGUGAUUAGUCAGGUGAGUACCAGGGCAGUGUAUGUA